rnacentral:rRNA from 1 species
AUGGCUCUUAUGUCCAGGGCUACACACCGUGCUACAAUGGGCAGUACAAAGGGUAGCAAGCCUGCGAAGGUGAGCCAAUCCCAAAAAGACUGUUCGUAGUUCGGAUUGGAGUCUGCAACUCGACUCCAUGAAGCUGGAAUCGCUAGUAAUCGCGGAUCAGCAUGCCGCGGUGAAUACGUUCCCGGGCCUU